rnacentral:misc_RNA from 1 species
GGAGUGGUGUCCAUGCCCCUAGAUUCCAAUAACCCCAUACACCCUUGGACAGCUCAUCUUUAUGUUUUGCCAACUUCUCCCUCCAUGGGUAUUGAUACUCAGAAACUGCCUUUGCCACAGUUUUCACAGCCUUGCUUGCCAUCAAAUUCUUUCAGUUGCUCUUACUUGUAAGGGGAUUUGCUGAAUAAAUUGAAUUUCUGCAGAAAGUUUUGACUCCAACGACUAGGAGCUGGCAAACUUAGGGAAGGCAGUUCAGCUGAAUCACUAAGGGCUACAGUUAAACCCCUUGCAAGUUGGCUACUGAAGAAGUGCACUGAAGGCUGAAGUAGUCGUUUUUGCCAAAUUAAGUCCAAAUUCGAGAGGCAAGAGAGAGCAAAAUGACUGGCCAGCCUUGGAGGAAUAGAACUCAAGCCAAAUGGUGAGUGGCUUAAACAAAGGGAAGGGAUCCUGUCGAAGGAAGGGGGAGGCAGUGCCGCUGCGGCAGCGGAGAAGACUAGCGUCUUGGCAAUGUUAGGUUUUACAAGUUCAUUAACCUCAAAACUACCGGUAAUUUUUACAAGCCGU